UGGCCAAAUAUCCAAAAGCGGAGGAAAAGAAACCAACAGGGAUUGCCUUAGUAGCGGCGAGUGAAGCGGCAAAAGCUCAAAUUUGAAAUCUGGCACUUUCAGUGUCCGAGUUGUAAUUUGAAGAAGGUAUCUUUGGGUCUGGCUCUUGUCUAUGUUUCUUGGAACAGAACGUCACAGAGGGUGAGAAUCCCGUGCGAUGAGAUGUCCCAGACCUAUGUAAAGUUCCUUCGAAGAGUCGAGUUGUUUGGGAAUGCAGCUCUAAGUGGGUGGUAAAUUCCAUCUAAAGCUAAAUAUUGGCGAGAGACCGAUAGCGAACAAGUACAGUGAUGGAAAGAUGAAAAGAACUUUGAAAAGAGAGUGAAAAAGUACGUGAAAUUGUUGAAAGGGAAGGGCUUGAGAUCAGACUUGGUAUUUUGUAUGUUACUCUCUCGGGGGUGGCCUCUACAGUUUACCGGGCCAGCAUCAGUUUGAGCGGUAGGAUAAGUGCAAAGAAAUGUGGCACUGCUUCGGUAGUGUGUUAUAGUCUUUGUCGAUACUGCCAGCUUAGACUGAGGACUGCGGCUUCGGCCUAGGAUGUUGGCAUAAUGAUCUUAAGUCGCCCGUCUUAA
rnacentral:rRNA from 1 species